rnacentral:misc_RNA from 1 species
GAUGAAGAACGCAGCGAAAUGCGAUAAGUAAUGUGAAUUGCAGAAUUCCGUGAAUCAUCGAAUCUUUGAACGCAUAUUGCGCCCCCUGGUAUUCCGGGGGGCAUGCCUGUCCGAGCGUCAUUGCUGCCCUCAAGCACGGCUUGUGUGUUGGGCUCCGUCCCCCCGGGGACGGGCCCGAAAGGCAGCGGCGGCACCGAGUCCGGUCCUCGAGCGUAUGGGGCUUUGUCACCCGCUCUGUAGGCCCGGCCGGCGCCAGCCGACAACCCAUCAUCCUUUUCAGGUUGACCUCGGAUCAGGUAGGGAUACCCGCUGAACUUAAGCAUAUCAAUAAGCGGAGGA